rnacentral:rRNA from 1 species
UACAGAGGGUGCAAGCGUUGUUCGGAAUUAUUGGGCGUAAAGCGCGUGUAGGCGGCUUUGCAAGUCGGGUGUGAAAGCCCUCAGCUUAACUGAGGAAGUGCGCCCGAAACUGCUUGGCUUGAGUACCGGAGAGGAUGGCGGAAUUCCCCAAGUAGAGGUGAAAUUCGUAGAUAUGGGGAGGAACACCGGUGGCGAAGGCGGCCAUCUGGACGGAUACUGACGCUGAGACGCGAAGGCGUGGGUAGCAAACAGG